rnacentral:rRNA from 1 species
GACGAACGCUGGCGGCGUGCUUAACACAUGCCAGUCGAACGGAAAGGCCCUGCUUUUGUGGGGUGCUCGAGUGGCGAACGGGUGUGUAACACGUGAGUAACCUGCCCUUGACUUUGGGAUAACUUCAGGAAACUGGGGCUAAUACCGGAUAGGAGCUCCUGCUGCAUGGUGGGGGUUGGAAAGUUUCGGCGGUUGGGGAUGGACUCGCGGCUUAUCAGCUUGUUGGUGGGGUAGUGGCUUACCAAGGCUUUGACGGGUAGCCGGCCUGAGAGGGUGACCGGCCACAUUGGGACUGAGAUACGGCCCAGACUCCUACGGGAGGCAGCAGUGGGGAAUAUUGCAAAAUGGGCGGAAGCCUGAUGCAGCAACGCCGCGUGCGGGAUGACGGCCUUCGGGUUGUAAACCGCUUUCGCCUGUGACGAAGCGUGAGUGACGGUAAUGGGUAAAGAAGCACCGGCUAACUACGUG